rnacentral:rRNA from 1 species
GUUGAUUGACGCUGAGGCACGAAAGCGUGGGGAUCAAACAGGAUUAGAUACCCUGGUAGUCCACGCAGUAAACGAUGAUGGCUAACCGCUGGGUCCUACGAUUCAGUGGCCAAGCGAAAGCGAUAAGCCAUCCACCUGGGGAGUACGACCGCAAGGUUGAAACUCAAAGGAAUUGACGGGGGCCCGCACAAGCGGAGGAACAUGUGGUUUAAUUCGAUGAUACGCGAGGAACCUUACCCGGGCUCGAACGGCUGGUGAAGAGAUCCAGAGAUGGUGACGUCCUUCGGGACACCAGUCGAGGUGCUGCAUGGUUGUCGUCAGCUCGUGCCGUGAGGUGUCGGCUCAAGUGCCAUAACGAGCGCAACCCUUGCCGUCAGUUACCAUCAAGUAGAGUUGGGGACUCUGGCGGGACUGCCACCGCAAGGUGUGAGGAAGGGGGGGAUGACGUCAAAUCAGCACGGCCCUUACGUCCGGGGCGACACACGUGUUACAAUGGCGGCCACAGAGGGGCACUACCUGGCGACAGGAUGGGAAUCUCGAAAAGCCGUCUCAGUCCGGAUCGGAGUCUGCAACCCGACUCCGUGAAGCUGGAUUCGCUAG